rnacentral:rRNA from 1 species
UACGUAGGAUCCAAGCGUUGUCCGGAUUUACUGGGUGUAAAGGGUGCGCAGGCGGACUUGUUAGUCAGAGGUGAAAUCUCACUGCUCAACAGUGAAAACUGCCUUUGAUACUGCAGGUCUUGAAUCCAGAAGAGAGUUGUGGAAUUCCGAGUGUAGCAGUGAAAUGUGUAGAUAUUCGGAAGAACACCAGCGGCGAAGGCAGCAACUUGGUCUGGUAUUGACGCUCAGGCACGAAAGCAUGGGGAUCAAACAGGAGUUAGAA